CAUGAGGUCAACGUAGUACUUGUUGUCGAAGGUGUUGGGGGAUCGGAUGUCCAAGACUGUGGUGUUGUCGGUGGUGUUGGUGGGGCAAGUGAGUCUGAGGUUUUUGCCAAAGGUUUUGUCCAUAACAGGGUCCUGUGUAGGGUAGAGUCUGUUGCUGAAAGAGCUGCAAUGGCUUAUGCCUAUGGUGUGACCACCAGAGAGGGAUACCACAUCGGUGGGGUCGAGGUUUUUGGUGGCGAGGGAGUUUAGGAUGGUGGUGGUGUUGCUUGAUGGUGGUGGAAGGUUGUCCAAUGUCACCUGCCUAGAGGCAAAGGUUAACCCAUCUCUCCUUCCCAAGGGUAUCUCAUAGUCUGGUCCCCCUGACUGUCAUUCAUAAUAAAGAAACAAUUUUUAUACAUUGUCAAUCCACAAAACCAGAAAGAAUGUUUUUGCUUUAUAAAAGAAAG
rnacentral:lncRNA from 1 species